AUUCAUUGGCGCAAUGGGUCAGUGCGUCUGGCUGUCAACCAGAAGGUUCGUGGUUCAAGCCUACCCAGGGAUG
rnacentral:tRNA from 1 species